CUUGAAAGUGACAAGUGCACAUGAGAAAUUGGAUAGUUCUCAAGCUUUUGCCCAC
ensembl:ncRNA C54G4.13 ncRNA